GUGAAUCAUCGAAUUUUUGAACGCACAUUGCACUCUUUUCGUAGAGUGAGCCUGUUUGUGGGUCAGCCUAAAAAACAUCGACAUAGUUCCUGUUACGCGGUAACAUUCGUCCGAAAUUGGGUGAUCUUAAACCUUUGGGUUUACUCGGCUUAAAAUUUCCUUUACGAAUCCCAGUACGUUUCUAACAUUUUAUUUUCUUAUACUGUUAAGGUAUCGAUCUUUCUUUGACGUGGCAGUUGCAUCGGUU
rnacentral:misc_RNA from 1 species